AAUAAAAAACACAGGAGUGAAUCACUUAUGUGACGUACUGAAGGAUUCACGCUGUAAACUGGAGAGAUUGAGUCUUCAUGACUGUGGCAUUACAGAUGUUUCUUCUUUAACUCAGUCUUUGACAAACACAAAAGCUCUGCAGUUUCUAAAACAGCUUGAUCUGAGUGGUAAUAAGAUUGGAGACUCAAAGCAGAAGCUCAUUGAUGUGCUACGAGACUCAAACUGUAAACUGAGAGUAGAUAGAUAGACUUCAAUCACCAGAAGCUGAUAAAUGCUGUAUAUCAUAAAGUGAAGUGUUCUUGAGAGGAGCAGUAAACAUCAGCUGAAGAUCCACAGAAGAGCUUCACUACUGUGUCUAUGAGGAGAAAUAAAUGUGAGAUAAAUGUGGUAAAUGUGAUCCCAUACAGGUGAAGAGACUCAGACUUUACAAUGAAAUAAUGCAGCAUUUGUGUUAGAAACAUGAUAUUGAAUGAUUAAUGUUGCUUUAGUAUUCAAGCAGAUGAUCAUUGUGUUUAAUGUAAAGCUGGAACAGAGGAGGAAGAAGCUCAGAUGAGUCUGUCUGGCUCUUCAGUUUAAUAAUAUUUGUAUUAAACUCAUUCAUAAUGA